UACGUAGGUGGCAAGCGUUGUCCGGAUUUACUGGGCGUAAAGAGCGCGCAGGCGGUCGUUCAAGUCGCGUGUGAAAGCCCCCGGCUCAACUGGGGAGGGUCACGCGAUACUGAUCGACUCGAAGGCAGGAGAGGGAAGUGGAAUUCCCGGUGUAGUGGUGAAAUGCGUAGAUAUCGGGAGGAACAUCAGUGGCGAAAGCGACUUCCUGGACCAAUACUGACGCUCAUGUGCGAAAGCGUGGGGAGCAAACAGG
rnacentral:rRNA from 1 species